UAUCCAAAACAAUAAUAAUCACGAUUACAAUGAAAUACAUAAACAGAUACAAAUGUGGUCACGGCGCCACUGCCUUAUGACGUCACAAGCCAAUGCGUGACAGAGGUGUCUGCGGAGGGCUUAGCUAUCAUUUAAUACCUUAUUUACUAUUUUUUUUUUAAAUUAAGCAAAAAUCCCCUUCAUACCUUUAAUUGUUUUCAUCUGUGUACAUUGAAUAUUAUUUUGGAUUUAAAUAUUCGCUUAAGAUGUAUAGGAUUUACAAAAUCAAUUUCGAAUUUUUAACAACAAAAGGAUUUUUAAUUAAAUUUAGAUUUGUUUAAAUAAUUUUGUCUCAUUUUUUAGUAAUUUAGCCACUGUAUCCGUAUAUGGACGGCUAUGGCUUCAUCUGUAGUCUCAUUUCAUAAGCAUUGAAGACUAUUUUGGCCGAAUUUAUGGGUCAGUUUAAUUAGAAGUCAUUGUCCUAUACCAGUACGAAUUUGUUUUUGUUACCUUCGAAAUUGGGUAAUCGAGAAAAUAUAGGAACCUAGGCGGAAGUUAUAUUUCAGUUCUUUGUAUUUCGCAUUUUUAUUUCUGAAGAACUGAUUCUUGUCAAGUCAUUCAAAAUUCUGAAGAAACGAAAGAAAAUGAAUGGGACUAAAUAGGGUAUAAACUUUCAACCGCUCUCCCCCCCCCCAUAUUUGAGGGUCAAUAAACCGAAUCCAUGAAAAAGAAAAAAAGAAUGUUGAUGAAGAUAGGAAAAGUAAGUUUUUCUCUCAGAUUUCUUCACUUAAAAUAUCGUUUGCACUUAUUGAUUAGCCUAUUAAAGGUUAGACUUAAAAUUUAGUCCUAGUACACGAUCAUUAGAUCAAAAGUUACUCAGAGUGUUCAUUACUUUUAUUUUGUGCACUGCUGAUGUCAAUACACAAAUCACACAGAAUUAAACUUUAAUUUUAUCAACUCAAGCUAAUGCCUAUUAAGUAUUAUCUUAGAUCAAUCUUAUCAUACAAAAAGGAAGUAAUAAUUCUUUAUCAGCGAAUGGUUAGGCGUGGGACCCUCUUCAUAAGUGAGUGUCCAGCUAUUUUAUAUCCCGCAGAACUAGUUCACUAUACAUGCAAUAUUUAAAAUGUUAAUUAAUACUUACAGGAUCUACUGUAAGUCUGCGUCCCGCAGAGAACUGAUUGUUAAGACAUGGUUCCCAGCAGAACACCGAAGUCAACCAUCACUGGCUGCGGUCAGUGUGAGGUGACCACUUGGAUCAGUCUACGAAAUGACUGAGGGUGUGUGGUAUUGA
rnacentral:lncRNA from 1 species